rnacentral:rRNA from 1 species
UCUGGUAAUGAUGGCAGAGAGGCCACACCCGUUCCCAUACCGAACACGGAAGUUAAGCUCUCUAGCGCCGAUGGUAGUUGGGACCUUGUCAGCU